rnacentral:rRNA from 1 species
UAAAAGUAGCAAUACUUUUGGUGGCGACCGGCGCACGGGUGAGUAACGCGUAUGCAACCCAUCUAUCAGAGGGGAAUAACCCGGCGAAAGUCGGACUAAUACCGCAUAAAACAGGGACACCGCAUGGUGAUAUUUGUUAAAGAAAUUCGCUGAUAGAUGGGCAUGCGUUCCAUUAGGUAGUUGGUGAGGUAACGGCUCACCAAGCCGACGAUGGAUAGGGGAACUGAGAGGUUGGUCCCCCACACUGGUACUGAGACACGGACCAGACUCCUACGGGAGGCAGCAGUGAGGAAUAUUGGUCAAUGGGCGAGAGCCUGAACCAGCCAAGUCGCGUGAAGGAAGAAGGAUCUAUGGUUCGUAAACUUCUUUUGCAGGGGAAUAAAGUGCAGGACGUGUCCUGUUUUGUAUGUACCCUGAGAAUAAGGAUCGGCUAACUCCGUGCCAGCAGCCGCGGUAAUACGGAGGAUCCGAGCGUUAUCCGGAUUUAUUGGGUUUAAAGGGUGCGUAGGUGGUUUGAUAAGUCAGCGGUGAAAGUUUGCAGCUUAACUGUAAAAAUGCCGUUGAAACUGUCGGACUUGAGUGUAAAUGAGGUAGGCGGAAUGCGUGGUGUAGCGGUGAAAUGCUUAGAUAUCACGAAGAACUCCGAUUG